rnacentral:rRNA from 1 species
UUUAUUGGAGAGUUUGAUCCUGGCUCAGGGUGAACGCUGGCGGCGUGCCUAAGACAUGCAAGUCGAGCGGGGCAGGUUUAUGCCUGUCCAGCGGCGGACGGGUGAGUAACGCGUGGGUGACCUACCCGGAAGAGGCGGACAACCUGGGGAAACCCAGGCUAAUCCGCCAUGUGGUCCUGUCCUGUGGGGUAGGACUAAAGGGUGGAUAGCCCGCUUCCGGAUGGGCCCGCGUCCCAUCAGCUAGUUGGUGGGGUAAAGGCCCACCAAGGCGACGACGGGUAGCCGGUCUGAGAGGAUGGCCGGCCACAGGGGCACUGAGACACGGGCCCCACUCCU